AAGUCAGUGUAUUAAUAGCAUACGACAUGGACUUUUUCCCCUGACAGCUGGAGGUAACUUUGGUGCUAAUCUAGCUAAAAAUUUAUAGGACAACAACAAUCCAGUAUAAUCCUAUUUAGUGGGGUCUGGAAGUAUUGUGUGUACGCAGAGCUUACCCUAUCUGGGCAGAGAGAGUUGUUUACAAAUAGAACGCAUCCUUUCCUCCUACAACUUCUCACAACAAUCCCACUUAGCUAAAAAUUUAUACGAGGUUUAUUUUUCCCUGCUCUUCUUCUGCACCAAGGGUAAAUGUUUCUUUCUCACAACUUUGUGCAGCAAGGGGUUUCACUCAGAAGAGUUGUACCAUAAUUGGAUAACUACGACAAGUUACAGCAAACGUUUGGAUGCAGUGAACUGAAACAACACUCUUCUUAGGCGGCGAAUUUGGUUCUCUCUCGCUACUGUUAGGACUCUUGUACCAACUGAUAUUAGGGAGCAACAAAUUUUAAUAUUGAUGGACUCUGGACAAACAAACAAGCGUCCCUGCUCUGAAAAGAAAUGUCCUGAUAGGAAUAUUAGACGACGCGAACAGUAUAAACUUAAGAUGGCGAAUGAAAAAAAUGCACUAUCAUUAUAGGAAAUACUCAAAAAUCAGGCGUUGCAACAUAAUCGCUUUGAAAGAGCGACUUCUAUCAUCUCUACCGAUAUAACAACAUCAGCACAUUUACAGUGUACUUCUAAUACAAAGGGCUCCUACUAUACUUCCAAAACAGGCAAGCAUGGGGCCCUGGCAUGGAUAUUAUAAACCCUCAUUUUCUGGCUUUUGCCGCAGCUGAGCGUCAAUUCCUGCAAUCGGAGUAUGAUGACUAUGCCAUUGCUAGCAGUGGGAGUUUAGCAUGUUUCCGCUACGUUGCAAUCAUCUUGAUGCUACUCUUGCUGAUUCGCCAAACAUUGAUGGCCACAAGGGACUUUUCAAUGGUGCAGGACUCAUCUAUAUUCUUCAACUUUCAGAUUUCACUUCUACAGCUGGUGGCUUUCCUCCUCCCUUAUUAUGUAAUGGCUCGGACAUGGUACAUGAUACAAUGCCGAAGAAGGAGGCAGGCGUGUUAACCUAAUCGGUUAUCCUAAUCAUUCUCCUUCCUCUUGCCUUCUGCCCUUCAAUUUUGCAUACCUUUUUUAGUUCUUGGUUGGCUAAAUACGAUGAAACCAUAGUCAUAAAGAACCGAAUCAAGUACAAAGAGAAGAUGUGCAUCUCUGAUGAACCUGAGAACUAAAAUUGCUUAGCUCUGCCUUAUUCGAAGUAGCUUAUUGGAAUAAAAUCAGGAAAUUGGUUCCUUGGUAACUAUUGCUAAUUUGCUACUAUUGAUUCAUCUCUUCUUUUCUUUUUUUUCAAAAACUUUUCAGGCAGUUAGUUUUUGUCUAUUAGUUUCUGAAGCACUACAACUUCUACGCUCAUACAUCAUUGCUAACUUAAAAGACUUCCAUAGAGCCAAUUUCAUUUAAUGACUCCUUUUCCUAACAAUUUCUUGGAUUCUCAUAUGAUCGCUAUGGUAACCAUGGCUUAUCCUAAUACAGUUAAUUCUAGUGAAAUGAACCGCUGGGAUUUUGAAAGUGGAUUUGCACUCAAUUGCUCCAGACUAAAUUAUCCUUGACAGAGUUGGUAGUAUAUGCAUCUUGAAAUAUAGUGUACUAAAAAAGACAACAUUAAUGCUUUUCUUUAAGUUGUUUAAUUCUGCUCUGUAAGUUGCUGUCCAUUGUUAGAAUUGCUUGAAUGUUGCUAUGUAAUACUUUCUAUCCAACUCAAGACCUUUUCUUGUAACGUGGUUGAGCUGAAUAUGAGAAAUUUCAUAUAGUUUCAUGCACAUAUACACAAAUGAUAUUUUUAGUGAAGAAAGACAUCUCGACUUCCUUUUCCGUUUUCUUGUUAGAGAUCUUAGGCUUCUGAUGGUUCUGAAGCUGCAGACGGAAAGUUCUUUUGCUUUAUCUUACAUGUUAACGGUUGAUUUCAGGCUUAAGAAGGAAGCCAUGGUUGGUAGCAUGACCUUUUGCAGCCUUUCUCGUCUCUAAUGUUGGACAAAUGCUGCUGCUGUACAUCAACCUUCUCUUUCCCUAAUAUCUGUAUUUAUCUUCCAAGGUGCAAAAGUUUAGCUUAGCACUUUGGUGCUGAAAAUCCCUUAGCUCUUUGAGCUACAUAUAAGCUCUUCCCCAGUUUCUCCUACCCGUGAACUCGUAAGCAAAUGUAAAUAUGUGAGGAUUUGAGUUCACUAGCGGUUUCUAUCACCUUGUUCUAUAAUAUCAGAUAUGAAAUUUCUAAUGGAACAGUAAGUUAUCUGCA